rnacentral:rRNA from 1 species
UACGGGGGGGGCAAGCGUUGUUCGGAAUUACUGGGCGUAAAGGGCCAGUAGGCGGCCAACUAAGUCCGACGUGAAAUCCCAAGGCUUAACCUUGGAACUGCGUCGGAUACUGGAUGGCUUGAAUUCGGGAGAGGGAUGCAGAAUUCCAGGUGUAGCGGUGAAAUGCGUAGAUAUCUGGAGGGAUACCGGUGGCGAAGGCGGCAUCCUGGACCGACAUUGACGCUGAACGGCGAAAGCUAGGGGAGCAAACGGG